rnacentral:rRNA from 1 species
AUUGAACGCUGGCGGCAGGCCUAACACAUGCGAGUCGAGCGGAUGAAGGGAGCUUGCUCCUGGAUUCAGCGGCGGACGGGUGAGUAAUGCCUAGGAAUCUGCCUGGUAGUGGGGGAUAACGUCCGGAAACGGGCGCUAAUACCGCAUACGUCCUGAGGGAGAAAGUGGGGGAUCUUCGGACCUCACACUAUCAGAUGAGCCUAGGUCGGAUUAGCUAGUUGGUGGGGUAAAGGCCUACCAAGGCGACGAUCCGUAACUGGUCUGAGAGGAUGAUCAGUCACACUGGAACUGAGACACGGUCCAGACUCCUACGGGAGGCAGCAGUGGGGAAUAUUGGACAAUGGGCGAAAGCCUGAUCCAGCCAUGCCGCGUGUGUGAAGAAGGUCUUCGGAUUGUAAAGCACUUUAAGUUGGGAGGAAGGGCAGUAAGUUAAUACCUUGCUGUUUUGACGUUACCAACAGAAUAAGCACCGGCUAACUUCGUG